AAUAAAUCAAAAUAAUUAAAACAGGACAAAAAAAAUAAUGGUUAUUGAGCUCAAUUCAAGACUUAUCUACAUACAACCAUCACUGAAUGUGAUUGAAACUCAAUUAGGUCUGCAACUAAUGAGUAUUUUAAUAAUCAGAUAUUUUCGAUAUUAUUUUGUUGAUUCAUGAAUGGAUCAGAUU